rnacentral:lncRNA from 1 species
UAAAAGUAAGGUACUCGCAAACCGAAAAGAAUAUUACCAGUUACUGGGUAAUAGACUUUCGGGGGACAAAAGCAUCUAUCUAGGUAAGAGCUAGAAAGAAACGGUCAAACAAAGACUCGACCCGAUGAGGAGAUAACUCAGGGGGAGUGGUUCCAUCCAACCAAUCGAUUGGGGAGGAACCUGAAAUAAUAAUUAUCCACGAGGAAAUAACUCAGUGGGGAUUCAGAAAGGUUAAAUUCUU